UUAAGCGACUAAGCGUACACGGUGGAUGCCCUGGCAGUCAGAGGCGAUGAAGGACGUGCUAAUCUGCGAAAAGCGUCGGUAAGGUGAUAUGAACCGUUACAGCCGGCGAUGUCCGAAUGGGGAAACCCAGUGCAAUUCGUUGCACUAUCGUUAACUGAAUACAUAGGUUAGCGAGGCGAACCGGGGGAACUGAAACAUCUAAGUACCCCGAGGAAAAGAAAUCAACCGAGAUUCCCCCAGUAGCGGCGAGCGAACGGGGAGCAGCCCAGAGUCUGAAUCAGCUUGUGUGUUAGUGGAACGGUCUGGAAAGUCCGACGGUACAGGGUGAUAGUCCCGUACACCAAAAUGCACAGGUUGUGAACUCGAAGAGUAGGGCGGGACACGUGGUAUCCUGUCUGAAUAUGGGGGGACCAUCCUCCAAGGCUAAAUACUCCUGACUGACCGAUAGUGAACCAGUACCGUGAGGGAAAGGCGAAAAGAACCCCGGCGAGGGGAGUGAAAAAGAACCUGAAACCGUGUACGUACAAGCAGUGGGAGCACCUUCGGGUGUGACUGCGUACCUUUUGUAUAAUGGGUCAGCGACUUAUAUUCUGUAGCAAGGUUAACCGUAUAGGGGAGCCGCAGGGAAACCGAGUCUUAACUGGGCGUUAAGUUGCAGGGUAUAGACCCGAAACCCGGUGAUCUAGCCAUGGGCAGGUUGAAGGUUGGGUAACACUAACUGGAGGACCGAACCGACUAAUGUUGAAAAAUUAGCGGAUGACUUGUGGCUGGGGGUGAAAGGCCAAUCAAACCGGGAGAUAGCUGGUUCUCCCCGAAAGCUAUUUAGGUAGCGCCUCGUGAACUCAUCUUCGGGGGUAGAGCACUGUUUCGGCUAGGGGGUCAUCCCGACUUACCAACCCGAUGCAAACUACGAAUACCGAAGAAUGUUAUCACGGGAGACACACGGCGGGUGCUAACGUCCGUCGUGAAGAGGGAAACAACCCAGACCGCCAGCUAAGGUCCCAAAGUCAUGGUUAAGUGGGAAACGAUGUGGGAAGGCACAGACAGCCAGGAUGUUGGCUUAGAAGCAGCCAUCAUUUAAAGAAAGCGUAAUAGCUCACUGGUCGAGUCGGCCUGCGCGGAAGAUGUAACGGGGCUAAACCAUGCACCGAAGCUGCGGCAGCGACACUAUGUGUUGUUGGGUAGGGGAGCGUUCUGUAAGCCUGCGAAGGUGACCUGUGAGGGUUGCUGGAGGUAUCAGAAGUGCGAAUGCUGACAUAAGUAACGAUAAAGCGGGUGAAAAGCCCGCUCGCCGGAAGACCAAGGGUUCCUGUCCAACGUUAAUCGGGGCAGGGUGAGUCGACCCCUAAGGCGAGGCCGAAAGGCGUAGUCGAUGGGAAACAGGUUAAUAUUCCUGUACUUGGUGUUACUGCGAAGGGGGACGGAGAAGGCUAUGUUAGCCGGGCGACGGUUGUCCCGGUUUAAGCAUGUAGGCUGGUUGUCCAGGCAAAUCCGGAUAAUCAAGGCUGAGGUGUGAUGACGAGGCACUACGGUGCUGAAGUAACAAAUGCCCUGCUUCCAGGAAAAGCCUCUAAGCAUCAGGUAACAUUAAAUCGUACCCCAAACCGACACAGGUGGUCAGGUAGAGAAUACCAAGGCGCUUGAGAGAACUCGGGUGAAGGAACUAGGCAAAAUGGUGCCGUAACUUCGGGAGAAGGCACGCUGGUGUGUAGGUGAAGCCCCUGCGGGUGGAGCUGAGACCAGUCGAAGAUACCAGCUGGCUGCAACUGUUUAUUAAAAACACAGCACUGUGCAAACACGAAAGUGGACGUAUACGGUGUGACGCCUGCCCGGUGCCGGAAGGUUAAUUGAUGGGGUUAUCCGUAAGGAGAAGCUCUUGAUCGAAGCCCCGGUAAACGGCGGCCGUAACUAUAACGGUCCUAAGGUAGCGAAAUUCCUUGUCGGGUAAGUUCCGACCUGCACGAAUGGCGUAAUGAUGGCCAGGCUGUCUCCACCCGAGACUCAGUGAAAUUGAACUCGCUGUGAAGAUGCAGUGUACCCGCGGCAAGACGGAAAGACCCCGUGAACCUUUACUAUAGCUUGACACUGAACAUUGAGCCUUGAUGUGUAGGAUAGGUGGGAGGCUUUGAAGCGUGGACGCCAGUCUGCGUGGAGCCAACCUUGAAAUACCACCCUUUAAUGUUUGAUGUUCUAACGUUGGCCCCUUACCGGGGUUGCGGACAGUGUCUGGUGGGUAGUUUGACUGGGGCGGUCUCCUCCCAAAGCGUAACGGAGGAGCACGAAGGUUAGCUAAUCCUGGUCGGACAUCAGGAGGUUAGUGCAAUGGCAUAAGCUAGCUUGACUGCGAGCGUGACGGCGCGAGCAGGUGCGAAAGCAGGUCAUAGUGAUCCGGUGGUUCUGAAUGGAAGGGCCAUCGCUCAACGGAUAAAAGGUACUCCGGGGAUAACAGGCUGAUACCGCCCAAGAGUUCAUAUCGACGGCGGUGUUUGGCACCUCGAUGUCGGCUCAUCACAUCCUGGGGCUGAAGUAGGUCCCAAGGGUAUGGCUGUUCGCCAUUUAAAGUGGUACGCGAGCUGGGUUUAGAACGUCGUGAGACAGUUCGGUCCCUAUCUGCCGUGGGCGCUGGAGAAUUGAGGGGGGCUGCUCCUAGUACGAGAGGACCGGAGUGGACGCAUCACUGGUGUUCGGGUUGUCAUGCCAAUGGCACUGCCCGGUAGCUAAAUGCGGAAGAGAUAAGUGCUGAAAGCAUCUAAGCACGAAACUUGCCCCGAGAUGAGUUCUCCCUGAGACUUUAAGUCUCCUGAAGGAACGUUGAAGACGACGACGUUGAUAGGCCGGGUGUGUAAGCGCAGCGAUGCGUUGAGCUAACCGGUACUAAUGAACCGUGAGGCUUAACCUU
rnacentral:rRNA from 1 species